GGUCGGCCCUGAGCAGGCAGCCUAGGCCUGGGACUGGAACAGCGCGGAGAUGGGGGCGGCGGCCGCAGAGGCCGACCGCACUCUGUUCGUGGGUAACCUGGAGACGAAGGUGACAGAGGAGCUCCUCUUCGAGCUGUUCCACCAGGUAAGGGGCGGGCACGGUCCUAGGGCGGCUGUGGCAUUCACAGGCCGGGCCAAGGAGCGGAGCGCGCCGAGCCGGAAUUCCGCGGCGUUCGGGCCGAAAGUGACGUCGGAUGAUGGGGACAUCUGCGUCUCCACCUUGGAAAAGUCCAGGGAUCCGAGGUGGAACCUCAGUACUUGCUUUCCUCUUUCCUGUGUACCGUGCCUUCCCAUUUGAGUUCAUUGGCCUUUGCCGCAUCGUGCAGGAUGUGUUUCCGAGUCUAUCCGCUUAACUUCCGUGUGAAAUUGCAGACGUUAAAGUGUUUUAAAAACUCCAUAAACAUAACGCAGGAAAGCAGGACUGGCAUGCUUAAAUCUACCAGUCCUGUACCUUCUUGCUUUAAGACUCAAUAGUUGGUUAUAUUUGAGUAAUAGGUGCGGAAGGUUUUUUUUUUUUGUUUGUUUGUUUUGUUUUUGGUUUUUGUAAUCAAAAUAAUCCACUUUGCCUUGUAAAUGUUCGUUUCCAUGCAGUGGGAAAAUGAUAGCUGUUGGUUACAUUGUUAGGACAUCACACAGUCAUGUGAGAUGGAGAUUUUAUACUGUACUUCCCAUUCUUUGUCAAUAUUACAAAUAAUGUCCGAAAAAACUUGCCCCAAAUCUCGGUUUCAGUCGGAACUAGAAUUAUUCUUCCUAAAAGGAAAGUAGAUGUCCAGCCCCUGCCUGGACAUUUUGUUUUUGAUGAGGUCUUGAUUAUGUACCUUUUGUUUAAAACUUGUGUUCUCUUCUUUAUAGUAUUUGAGGCAGAGAGCCAUAUAGUAUUUCUUGGUAGCCCUGGAACUCCGAGGCUGACUUAGAGCUGGUCCUCCUGCCUGCAUCUCCUGACAUCUGACCAUACAGGCAUGUGCCACCAUGACAGGCUUGCAUUUCCAUUUAUUUCUGAAAUUUAAAUGUCUUCCUGAAAUUGCCUCGUUUUAAGUUCUGAAUAUUUUUCUUCGCAGGCUGGGCCGGUAAUAAAAGUGAAAAUCCCGAAAGAUAAAGAUGGCAAACUGAAGCAGUUUGCAUUCGUGAACUUCAAACAUGAAGUGUCUGUUCCCUAUGCCAUGAAUCUGCUCAACGGAAUCAAACUUUUCGGGAGGCCUAUCAAAAUUCAGUUUAGAUCAGGUAAUGGCUCGGUAUUGUGGUAAUAGGGAGAGGGUUUUUGGCUUCUUUUGCUUUCACUUUACUAUUCCGUUUGGUUUUUGAAUCAGGGUUUGGGGUAUUUCUAGGCUAGUUUCAGACUCACUGUGUAAGGCAUGUGUAGCUUUGAACUCUUGGUCCUCUGGGUAUACCUCCCAAGUGCUGGGUUUGUAGGUGUCAACUCUAUACCAGACUAAUAUUUUAAAAAUUAGGGAGUAGGGAAUUAAUUAUGAUGGAAAUACUUUAAAUUUUGCUAUUUCCUGUGGCCAGGUUGGCUGUUUCUUCUUAAAGUAGUAUCAUGUUUGAAAUGCUUUCUUUUGCAUUUCUGCUGUUAUGUACUUAAGAAACUGUGAGGCAGUUCAUAGCAAUUUGAGUUUAGUUUGCGGGGAGUUGGUGUUGCUUUUAAGCUGUUUAUCUCUUUUGGAGUAAUUUAGAUAGGAAGGAACAUUUCAAAUUAUUGUUGGGCUUUUUGGUUUUCAACUAGAAUUUUUGAAAUUGCUUCAUUUUAGGAAGCAGUCACGCCUCUCAGGAUGCCAGUGUGUCAUAUCCCCAGCAUCAUGUUGGAAAUUUAAGCCCAACCUCCACAUCUCCUAACAGGUACUGUUUCUCAUUCACUAUUAAAGUCAUUGAUCAGAAAAUUUCUGAGGUCAAGACCUUAGAGUGCACCAGUGAACAGCUUCCUUCAUGAUGGUUCUGCUGUUGGGUUGCUGCCUGUGCUAGAUUCAUGGAAUGCUUGUUUUCUAAGGAAACUGGAGGCAGAUAGAUUAUGUGGUUCUUUUGCACUAAAUUAAGUAGAACUUUUAUAUAUACAUUGGUAACAUGCAUACUCAUGUCCUACCCACAUGCCCAUGAAUGGACUUGAAACAAGAAAUGUUAUUUAUUACAACAGUACUAUACUGUAUCUUACUCCCCAAAGUGUUAAAGUUUCCAAUUACCUCUGUAGUAACCUUAUCACUGCUAGUAGUUCUUUCCUGCCUUUUAAGAUCACCAAGUGCUUAGUGGGCUGACUUAAUAGAACUGGAGUGUAGAUCUCUCUCUGCCAACUGAGUCUUUAGCUUAAUUUCUCUGGUCCUGUCCUUUGCAAGGAAAGAAAGAUGAAUAAAAUGAGCUCUGAAAUCCCUGUAGCUAUUGAAGGUUAGAGAUAGUACAGUAUUUACCUAACUCAGUUUGUUUGCUUUCGUGCUGAUAUAUACAUAUAGAUUUUUGGUUUUGUUUGUAAAUUCUGUAGAGCCAUAAUAUGCCCAUUCAAAAAUCGAUUUCACUUAAGAAAAAUUGAACAAGGCGGGCGUGGUGGCCCACGCCUUAAUCCCAGCACUCAGGAGACAGAGGCAAGCGGAUUUCUGAGUUCAGCCUGGUCUACAAAGUGAGUUCCAGGACAGUCAGGGCUAUACAGAGAAAGCCUGUCUC
rnacentral:lncRNA from 1 species